rnacentral:misc_RNA from 1 species
GGUGAAGAACGCAGCGAAAUGCGAUAAGUAAUGUGAAUUGCAGAAUUCAGUGAAUCAUCGAAUCUUUGAACGCACAUUGCGCCCGCCAGUAUUCUGGCGGGCAUGCCUGUUCGAGCGUCAUUACAACCCUCAGGCCCCCGGGCCUGGCGUUGGGGAUCGGCGGAAGCCCCCUGUGGGCACACGCCGUCCCUCAAAUACAGUGGCGGUCCCGCCGCAGCUUCCAUUGCGUAGUAGCUAACACCUCGCAACUGGAGAGCGGCGCGGCCAUGCCGUAAAACACCCAACUUCUGAAUGUUGACCUCGAAUCAGGUAGGAAUACCCGCUGAACUUAAGCAUAUCAAUAAGCGGAGGA